AACGAACGCUGGCGGCAUGCCUAACACAUGCAAGUCGAACGAGACCUUCGGGGCUAGUGGCGCACGGGUGCGUAACGCGGGGGAACCUGCCCUUAGGUUCGGAAUAACUCCCCGAAAGGGGUGCUAAUACCGGAUAAUGUCUUCGGACCAAAGAUUUAUCGCCUUUGGAUGGGCCCGCGUUGGAUUAGCUAGUUGGUAGGGUAAAAGCCUACCAAGGCGACGAUCCAUAGCUGGUCUGAGAGGAUGAUCAGCCACACUGGGACUGAGACACGGCCCAGACUCCUACGGGAGGCAGCAGUGGGGAAUAUUGGACAAUGGGCGAAAGCCUGAUCCAGCAAUGCCGCGUGAGUGAUGAAGGCCUUAGGGUUGUAAAGCUCUUUUACCCGGGAUGAUAAUGACAGUACCGGGAGAAUAAGCUCCGGCUAACUCCGUG
rnacentral:rRNA from 1 species